rnacentral:sRNA from 1 species
GAGGUAGUGACGAAAAAUAACGAUACGGG